GCCGUAGCUCAAUGGUAGAGCAUCUGUUUGCAUGCAGAAGGCCCCAGGUUCAAGCCUUGGGAUUUCUUAGACU